GACGAACGCUGGCGGCAUGCCUAACACAUGCAAGUCUAGGGGUAGCAAUACCACUGGCGCACGGGUGAGUAACACGUAGGUUAUCUGCCCCCAUCACAGACAUAACCCCGGGAAACCGGGGCUAAUAUCUGAUGAGGUCGCGAGAUCAAAGCUUCGGCGGAUGGGGAUGAGCCUGCGGCUGAUUAGCUAGUUGGUGAGGUAAUGGCUCACCAAGGCGACGAUCAGUAGCUGGUCUGAGAGGACGAACAGCCACACUGGAACUGAGACACGGUCCAGACUCCUACGGGAGGCAGCAGUGAGGAAUACUGGUCAAUGGGAGCAAUCCUGAACCAGCAAUGCCGCGUGUGGGAUGACAGGGCUUCGCCUUGUAAACCACUGUCGGACGGGACGAAAGGAGGCCUCGGGCCUCUGGGGACGGUACCGUCAAAGGGAAGGGUCGGCUAACUACGUGCCAGCAGCCGCGGUAAU
rnacentral:rRNA from 1 species